rnacentral:rRNA from 1 species
AUGCUACUCUGCUGCAUCAUCCCUUCCUCUUCGAGAAAAACCAACGCAAGCUCAAGACGUAGCAUCACCCGAAGAGUAGAAUCACAAAAGAGGAGGAAGAGCAUUCACAUGGGUUCAUAUACACAAGAUGAGGACAAGUUGAUUUGCCAAUGUUGGAUGGAGAUUAGCCAAGAUCCGAGGACCGGCGCGCAACAAAAGGGCCUUGUUUUUUGGACAAGAGUCCACAAAACAUUCCGUGAAAGGAAUAUGUUUGAGCCCUACCAAAUUACAAGCAACCGUGGCAUCACCUCGAUUCAAAAGAGGUGGUUAUUCAUCCAACAAGAGUGUAACAAGUAUUGCGCCGCACUUGAGAGCGUUGAAGCACGACCCGUGAGUGGUCUCGGCAUUGGGGACAUGGUAUGCUCUCCUCAUCCUAGUCCUUUCCUUGCUACGGCCAUGAGACUUCGGCCUUGUAUAUGCUUGCAUGUUCAAUUGUUGUUGAUCAUGUCGUGUAGGCAUUUCAAUCUUUGGAAGCAUUCAAGGCCUGGGACAAUGAAAAGCCAUUCACUCUUAUGCAUUGUUGGAUGA